CAGUCGCCGCGGGAAUACGAAGGGUGCAAGCGUUACUCGGAAUUACUGGGCGUAAAGCGUGCGUAGGUGGUGGUUUAAGUCCGUUGUGAAAGCCCUGGGCUCAACCUGGGGAUUGCAGUGGAUACUGGGUCACUAGAGUGUGGUAGAGGAUAGUGGAAUUUCCGGUGUAGCAGUGAAAUGCGUAGAGAUCGGAAGGAACAUCUGUGGCGAAGGCGACUAUCUGGGCCAACACUGACACUGAGGCACGAAAGCGUGGGGAGCAAACAGGAUUAGAUACCCGGGUAGUCCCUGUCUCUUAUAC
rnacentral:rRNA from 1 species